UACGAGGGGGGCGAGCGUUGUUCGGAAUUACUGGGCGUAAAGCGUGCGCAGGCGGUUUUGUAAGCCAGAUGUGAAAUCCCCGGGCUCAACCUGGGAAUGGCAUUUGGGACUGCAAGGCUGGAGUGCGGCAGAGGAGACUGGAAUUCCUGGUGUAGCAGUGAAAUGCGUAGAUAUCAGGAGGAAUACCGAUGGCGAAGGCAGGUCUCUGGGCUGACACUGACGCUCAUGCACGAAAGCGUGGGGAGCAAACAGG
rnacentral:rRNA from 1 species